rnacentral:lncRNA from 1 species
CCUGCAUUGUCUAGCCAUAUCCUCCAAACAAACAAAAAACGACUCUUGGAGAAUGAGUGCACAACUGGUCAGGUGGAAAUGUCCGACAGAUCUCCACUCCAUAAAAGGAGGAAAUCACCAUCGCCUGAUCGCGCUGCUUUCUCUUCCUUCACUCUGUCAAAUCCAGAAGUUCUGUGCGUCCAUGAAUCCACCGACUCUGUUCCCUAUCAUCUGAACAUUCAUCUGAACUAUCUGUUGCGAUCGGGAGAGUGGGCCAUCAGUUGUUGUUUGAAGUUAUUAUCGCAGAGCCCGGCUUGGAGCGCACGCUUCAAACAUUUUGUGUAAUGUGACUGGUCAAUGAUUCCGGCCCUACGGAUCAUAAUAGGUCAAUUAUGCAAUUGGUAUGGUUAAUAUGUAAUGAAAUUCCAUGUACACAUGAAGACACUUGAAAGGGUGAAAUAAGAAAGUAAUUGUUUGUUGAACUGAUCGGCUCUGAUAUCCAACUAAUGGCGAUUAUAGAUUGAAUAACCGAUCACUGUUUGUAUUCUUUCAUGAUUUAUGAUAAAUAGUUACGAGCCUAAAUUACUCACCGAUGAUUCCUAUUGACGUAAUGAACUGGAUUGUUGAAUUCCCUAAAUGAUGUUAAUAAUGAAUGAUUGUUAUGAUUAGAUCUUUGUGAUGAUGGAUUUGAUUGGAUACACGUUAUUCUAUUUCCUUUGUUAUGCAGCACAGACUACCCA